GUAAUUCUAGAGCUAAUACUUGCGUUGUACCCGACUUUAUGGAAGGGAUUGCAUUUAUUAGAUACAGGCCAAUCGGGAGUUUACUCCCGUUAUUUGGUGAUUCAUAAUAACUAAGCGAAUCGCAUGGGCUUGCCCGGCGAUAGACCUUUCAAGUUUCUGACCUAUCAGCUAUUGACGGUAGGGUAUUGGCCUACCGUGGCUAUGACGGGUAACGGAGAAUUAGGGUUCGAUUCCGGAGAGGGAGCCUGAGAAACGGCUACCACAUCUAAGGAUGGCAGCAGGCGCGCAAAUUACCCAAUCCUGACACAGGGAGGUAGUGACAAGAAAUAACAAUGCAGGGCUUCACAGUCUUGCAAUUGGAAUGAGUAGAUUUUAAAUCUCUUUACGAGUAACAAUUGGAGGGCAAGUCUGGUGCCAGCAGCCGCGGUAAUUCCAGCUCCAAUAGCGUAUAUUAAAGUUGUUGCGGUUAAAAAGCUCGUAGUUGAAUCUCUGCCAGGGACGACCUACCCACCUUAGGGUGCGCGUUAGAGUUGACCGUGGCAUCCUCCUAGUGACGACUGUGCUUAACCGCGCAGUUCGUUCUAGGACUUUUACUUUGAGGAAAUUAGAGUGUUUCAAGCAGGUAUAUGCCUUGAAUAUAUUAGCAUGGAAUAAUAAUUUAGGACUUCGGUUCUAUUUUAUUGGUUCUGGACCGAAGUAAUGAUUAAUAGGGACAGUCGGGGGCAUUCGUACUCAACAGUCAGAGGUGAAAUUCUUGGAUUCAUUGGAGACGAACUACUGCGAAAGCAUUUGCCAAGGAUGUUUUCAUUGAUCAAGAACGAAAGUUAGGGGAUCGAAGACG
rnacentral:rRNA from 1 species